rnacentral:lncRNA from 10 species
GUAGCUCCCGAAGCCAUGAUCAGUUAUGUAUACCUUAGUGGCAGCUGAUUAACAGACUCUUCCCCAGAGCCAGCUGACAGGAAGCACAUCGGGGUAAAAGGGAAGAUGAAAACUUGGGUGCCUGGAGGAAGGGAACAAAUGCGAGCAGGAGCAUGGUAAUAACAUAGCUGGACAGGCUUUAGGGACCUGCUUGAGCAGAACAUGGUAGAAGUGAUGGACUGGGGCUUCUGAGGCUAAGCCAUAAGAAGCCUUGAGAAUUUCACCUGGCCCUCACUGUCUCUGGGAGCCCUGAGCCAUGAUAGAAGAAGUCCUUCCUAUAUUGAAUGUCCUUGAGACCUCCAGUACUGGAAAGGGCAUUUGUAGAUGCUCAGACCAACAGUCCAAACUGAGCCCAGUCUGCCAACUUGCCCUGCCAAGGUGUCAGAUGCAUAUGUGAAUGAGACCAUCCUAGACCUGCUGAUAGCCCAUCACCCGGCUGACUGCUACUGAGUAACCUCUGCCAACUUCACGCCGAACACAGAACUGCUGAUUUGAACUCUGCCUGAAUUUCUUGGCCCACAGAACAAUGAGAUAUAAUUAAAAGGCAAUGGUUC